GAUGAACGCUGGCGGCGUGCCUAAUACAUGCAAGUCGAGCGAACGGACGAGAAGCUUGCUUCUCUGAUGUUAGCGGCGGACGGGUGAGUAACACGUGGAUAACCUACCUAUAAGACUGGGAUAACUUCGGGAAACCGGAGCUAAUACCGGAUAAUAUUUUGAACCGCAUGGUUCAAAAGUGAAAGACGGUCUUGCUGUCACUUAUAGAUGGAUCCGCGCUGCAUUAGCUAGUUGGUAAGGUAACGGCUUACCAAGGCAACUAUGCAUAGCCGACCUGAGAGGGUGGUCGCCCACACUGGAACUGAGACAGGGUCCAGACUCCUACGGGAGGCACCAGAAGGGAAUCUUCCGCAAUGGUCGAAAGCCUGGCGGAGCAACGCCGCGUGAGUGAUGAAGGUCUUCGGAUCGUAAAACUCUGUUAUUAGGGAAAAACAUAUGUGUAAGUAGCUGUGCACAUCUUGACGGUACCUAAUCAGAAAGCCACGGCUAACUACGUG
rnacentral:rRNA from 1 species